CCAGUCGUAUCUCAAAAUGGUGUGGUCAAGGAGGCGCUCCGCCUGUGCUGUGCCUGCAAGCCUCCUCUCUUUGCUCCUGGUUUGGAGCACAGAUGGAUCACCACCGGUAGCACCAGCGCUGGAGGCGGUGCCGGUGCCGGUGGGCGUGGUGCUGAACCUGGCGAGCGCCAUGGACAGGAGGAGCCUCACCUGCAUUUCAAUAGCCCUCGACGACUUCUACCUCAAGCACCCGAGCUACACCACACGGGUCGAGCUGCGCGUGAGUGAUUCGCGCGGAGACCCCGUCGCGGCUGCUGGUAUGUACCGUGCCUUAUGCGAUAUCCAGAUCGUGUCAAUCCUCUGGUGUCUGUCUAAAACAUUGAAGGUCUUUUCUUCUCGCGGUGCAAAAAAGACUAUGUAUAUGCAUGUAUCAGGGCCGUCGACAAGGGGGGUCAAAGUGGGCGACCGCCCAGGGCCCCAAAAUUCCUAGGGGCCCCCAAAUCGCAGUUUUGUGUCAGGUUGAAAAAGGCCCAGCUUACCUGCCUGCUGGAUCAUCCCUGAUGUACGACAGCGCCGUAGCGCAACCCCAAUCGAGCAGUUCGCCUCCCGCCGCCAGACGAUGACAGCGCCGAAGCGUAGCGCAACCCCAGUUCAGAAAUUCGACUUGCGCUGCCGGAUGACAACAUCGCCGUGCAACAAUUUUCUGUAAUCUACGCCUUCUUUGGCCGCCUCAAGUUUAGGCCUCUCGAUAAUGCAUGUAUCACCGUAUCCAUAGAUAGAACUAUUUUGAGGAUAGUUGCUCAUACAAGAUUUCGAAGAUAGUUGUUCAUCCGAGUUUCAAG